AACUGAUACUACCUGCGGGAACCUGCGGAGGGAUCAUUAUAGAGUUUUUAACUCCCAAACCCAUGUGAACUUACCUUUGUUGCCUCGGCGGAGCCUACCCGGUACCUACCCUGUAGCGCCCCGCCGGUGGACUUCUAAACUAUUGUUAUUUUAAUGAUAUCUGAGAGUCUUAUUUUAAUAAGUCAAAACUUUUAGCAACGGAUCUCU
rnacentral:misc_RNA from 1 species